CCUACGGGAGGCAGCAGUAGGGAAUAUUGCACAAUGGGCGAAACCCUGAUGCAGCGACGCCGCGUGAGUGAAGAAGUACUUCGUUAUGUAAAGCUCUAUCAGCAGGGAAGAAAAUGACGGUAACUGAGUAAUAAGCCCCGGCUAACUACGUGCCAGCAGCCGCUGUAAUACGUAGGGGGCAAGCGUUAUCCGGAUUUACUGGGUGAAAAGGGAGCGUAGACGGCAGUGCAAGUAUGGAGUGAAAGGCGGGGGGUCAACCCCCGGACUGCUCUGGAUACUGUACGGCUGGAGUGCAGGAGAGGUAAGUGGAAUUCCUGGUGUAGCGGUGAAAUGCGUAGAUAUAAGGAGGAACACCAGUGGCGAAGGCGGCUUACUGGACUGUAACUGACGUUGAGGCUCGAAAGCGUGGGGAGCAAACAGGAUUAGAUACCCGUGUAGUC
rnacentral:rRNA from 1 species